rnacentral:ncRNA from 1 species
CCGGGCCAGAAGCGACGCGUUGUCCGCCGCUCGUUUGCCGACCAGCAGUAGGGGCCCUCCGGCCCCCAAAGGCACGUGUCGUUGGCUAAGCCCUCGCGGCGGACGAGCCGCGCGGGCCGCCUUGAAUUACAAUUUCCACCGGGCGGCGGACUGAAUCCUUUGCAGACGACUUAAAUACGCGACGGGGUAUUGUAAGUGGCAGAGUGGCCUUGCUGCCACGAUCCACUGAGAUUCAGCCCUUCGUCGCUCCGAUUCGU